AUUUCGCUCUGCCCCUGGUGCCUCUUUGCUGCAGUGACACUGAGAUCCCAGCCGACCUUCAGCCAUGAAGAUCCUGUACCUGCUCUUUGCUGUUGUCCUUCUCCUCUUCCAAGCUGCUCCAGGGUCUGCUCAACCUCCCUGCAACCCCAGGAGAGGUUACUGCGUAAAUCCUAGGCGCUGUCGCUCAGGACAACAUUUGAAUGAACGAUGUCCUCCCGGAACGGUAUGCUGCAGAAUAUAGAGACCAUGCUGAGCUGCACACGGGGAACCUGGGAUUAUCCAAAAAGAUGUUUGUUCCCCUCUUUUCAAUAAAGACAAGCUGUUAAAUCAUA